rnacentral:rRNA from 1 species
GUAGGUGGCGAGCGUUAUCCGGAUUCAUUGGGCGUAAAGCGCUUGUAGGUGGCCUUGUAAGUUGGACGUGAAAUCUCCCGGCUUAACCGGGCGGGGUCGUUCAAUACUGCGGGGCUGGAGGAUGUCAGAGGGCAGCGGAAUUCCUGGUGUAGCAGUGAAAUGCGUAGAUAUCAGGAGGAACACCCGUGGCGUAGGCGGCUGCCUGGGGCAUACCUGACACUGAGAAGCGAAAGCUAGGGGAGCGAACGGGAUUAGAAACCCCGGUAGUCCUAGCCGUAAACGAUGGACGCUAGGUGUGGGCAGAUCUAACCCUGCCCGUGCCGAAGCCAACGCGUUAAGCGUCCCGCCUGGGAAGUACGAGCGCAAGCUUAAA